GAAUUUUGGACAACGGGCGAAAGCCUGAUCCAGCAAUGCCGCGUGCAGGAUGAAGGCCUUCGGGUUGUAAACUGCUUUUGUACGGAACGAAAAGCUUUGGGUUAAUACCCUGGAGUCAUGACGGUACCGUAAGAAUAAGCACAGGCUAACUACGUGCCAGCAGCCGCGGUAAUACGUAGGGUGCAAGCGUUAAUCGGAAUUCCAGGGCGCAAAGCGGAGUGCGGCCGUUUUUUAAGGCAGAGGUGAAAUCCCCGGGCUCAACCUGGGAAAUGCCUUUGUGACUGCAAAGGUAAAGUACUGCAGAGGGGGGUGGAAUUCCGCGUGUAGCAGUGAAAUGCGUAGAUAUGCGGAGGAACACCGAUGGCGAAGGCAACCCCCUGGGCCUGUACUGACGCUCAUGCACGAAAGCGUGGGGAGCAAACA
rnacentral:rRNA from 1 species